CAAGUCGAACGGAGAAAGAGAGGUUCGCCUUUCUUUCUUAGUGGCGCACGGGUGAGUAAUGUAUAGCUAACCUGCCCCUUGGUGGGGGACAACAGUUGGAAACGACUGCUAAUACCCCAUACUCCUUCUUACUCUAAGGUAAGUCGGGAAAACUCCGGUGCCAAGGGAUGGGGCUGUAUCCUAUCAGCUUGUUGGUGAGGUAAUGGCUCACCAAGGCAAUGACGGGUAGCUGGUCUGAGAGGAUGAUCAGCCACACUGGAACUGAGACACGGUCCAGACUCCUACGGGAGGCAGCAGUGGGGAAUAUUGCACAAUGGACGAAAGUCUGAUGCAGCAACGCCGCGUGGAGGAUGACACAUUUCGGUGCGUAAACUCCUUUUAUAUAGGAAGAUAAUGACGGUACUAUAUGAAUAAGCACCGGCUAACUCCGUGCCA
rnacentral:rRNA from 1 species